AAUUGAGGAAGAUUGCCGACGUGGGGAGUCAAAUGGGAAAGGCGAUUCUGCAGCCCCAUAAACGGUAUGGCUGACAAGGAGAAGCUUCAGCCUGCCAGUUGCCUAACUGAUGGACACUGCAGGCAUGCUCAGGGUUUAAAGAAGAACUGAAAAGUGCCUACCUUACAAAUUUUGGUGUGCUCAGAUGCAUGAAGAAAGCACAAAAGGCAGCACGUGUGCUGAAGGAAGAGUUCUAUUCCUCACUGUGUUAUUUUCUUCCAAGUGUCUUACAUCAGUAAAGGAGGUUUGGAAUAUUUUCCCCCAAACCCACAGGGAAUGGGAAAUGUCCAUUUGAUUACUCUUCCGUCUAUUCAGAUCAUCUAAUAAGGAGAGGUAAGCUGCAUAUAGGAAGUUCAGGAUACAUCUGAGUUUAGAAAUUCACUUAUUUCUGUGACACGAUGGGAACUGUAAUCAUUUUUUGGCUAAGGAAUUGCUGACUUUGUGAAAUCUUUCAAGGCUACGGAAGUAGAUUUUUUAAAGGUGAAUAACUCCAAAGCCAGAUGUUGCAGGAGUUGCUCUCAUCUCUAAAAAGCAGCUGUCAUGGAUGUGGAUCAUUCAGCCAAGACCCGGUGCACCACCUCCUAGCGACCCCAGCAAGGAAAACUCUUCCUACAGCUGGAGCUGUAUAAGGACCUGGCAGAAGCCUCGGAAACGCAGCCUCCCAGAAACGCGUCAGAACAGCAAAUGUGCUAAACAUCUAACUGCGUCGCAGUGGUAUAAAUUACACAGACGGAGGUAUCGAUUGUGAAAAGAUCAGAUAGUUUUAAAGUCAGUGGAUGGCUGUCAAGUUGUUAAUUGAACAUUUGCUGAAAAAUGCCUGUGGAAUCUGAACUGUCCUUUGAAAGCAAGUUUUCCAGCUUAACCAUCAAAAAAUAUGAACAUGAGCUUCAUUCACAAGAGAUACUCUGGUAAUAAAAACACAGGAAAAAGAAAAGAAUGAAUGGCAAAUAUAAUAGAACUGGAUUUGAACUCAGAAAUGGCUUCAUGGAAAAAAAAAAAAA